rnacentral:rRNA from 1 species
AGCAGCCGCGGUAAUUCCAGCUCCAAUAGCGUAUAUUAAAGUUGUUGCAGUUAAAAAGCUCGUAGUUGAAUUUCGGGGUUAGUAGAUUGGUCAUGCCUCUGGUAUGUACUGGUCUUACUGAUUCCUCCUUCCUGAUGAACCGUAAUGCCAUUAAUUUGGUGUUGCGGGGAGACUGGACUGUUACUUUGAAAAAAUUAGAGUGUUUAAAGCAAGCUAACGCUUGAAUACAUUAGCAUGGAAUAAUGAAAUAGGACGUUCGAUCUUAUUUUGUUGGUUUCUAGGAUUGACGUAAUGAUUAAUAGGGAUAGUUGGGGGCAUUAGUAUUCAAUUGUCAGAGGUGAAAUUCUUGGAUUUAUUGAAGACUAACUACUGCGAAAGCAUUUGCCAAGGAUGUUUUCAUUAAUCAAGAACGAAAGUUAGGGGAUCGAAGACGAUCAGAUACCGUCGUAG